GACGAACGCUGGCGGCGUGCCUAAUACAUGCAAGUAGGACGCAGUUGCGAACGGGUGAGUAACGCGUAGGUCACUAGCUCUUGGAGGGGAAUAACUAUUGGAAACGAUAGCUCAUACCGCAUACUAGUAGAUGGACCUACGUUGUAUUAGGUAGUAUGUCGGGGAAUGGCCUACCUAGGCAACGAUACAUAGCCGAGCUUAGAGGGAGAUCCGCCACACUGGGACCGAGACAGGGCCCAAAGUCGACGGGGGGCAGCAGGUGGGAAUAUUUGGCAAUGGGGGGAACGCUGACCGAGCAACGCCGCGGGAUUGAAGAAGGUUUUCGGAUCGUAAAGCUCUUUUGUUAAGGAAGCGGUACUUAACCAGAAAGGGACGGCUAACUACGUGCCAGCAGCCGCGGUAAUAC
rnacentral:rRNA from 1 species